GUCCCGGUACCUCAGCAGGAUAGAGGGUCCGCCUCCUAAGCGGAACGCCGAAGGUUCGACUCCUUUCCGGGACG
rnacentral:tRNA from 1 species